GGCUGUGUCUAGGGCUAUGAACUUUUCCCUAUUUAAACGGUGCAGAGUGUACUUAGAGGAGAAUAUAGGGUGAAGAUUCUACUGGUGAUUGACAACUGCUGUAACUGUUUCAGUGUUAUUACUUGACACACGUUCUCCAAAAUACCUAGCUUCAUGUUUUCUAACGUUUGGAUUAAAACUGUUAAUAUUAAAUCUUACAAGAUUUAUCACUGCCGGAUCCUUGGUUGUGACCACGCCUGUCUCAGUUCUCUAGGCUGGAGGAAAUUUUCAUCUCCCCAGGGGCUUUGUGACACAUCAUUGAAAAAUGUUCCUUGAUAUGGAAGGUAGUUUUACACAUGAGGAUUCGGUAGCUUGAAAUAUGUAAUUAAAACAUUUAAUUUAAGUUUCAGACUUUAUAAGUUUGUGAGACUGAGUAAUUGAUUUUACUAUUUUCUGAUACCUGUUAGCUCCUCGCUAGCUGGCUCCUUGCCCGCUUCUUCCGUUCAUAGUUUAUCUAAAGUGUGGAACUCCGUGGGCAAGUUCUCCUUCCAAUACUGCAGAGCAAGUGUAUCUCCCUCCUCCUCGCUUUCUCUUUUUUUAAAAAACCUAAUUGUUAUUAGUUGUCAUUUUUUAUCUUGGUAAAAUAUAUAUAUGACAUAAAACUUACCAUUUUAAUCACUUUUACAUGUGUGGUUCUGGGGCUCCAGGUAGAUUCGCAAGGCUGUCCCGCCAUCACCGCCACCCGUCUCCAGAAUGUUCCCACCUGAAAACACUCAGCGGAAGGCUGCACCUGCAGCGCGGUGGCCCUGGAACAUCCCCCCCGCCCCCGCGCCGCCUCACCCAGCCCCGGGCAGUGGCCGUGCGCGUGCCGGUGCGUCCCUGGCCUCGGAGCUGCCCCCCGCCCCAGGUCACGCGGCGAGGCCCGGUCCUCCCGGCAGCCCGGGGGUCGAGCCCAGCCGCGGGGCCGGGCGCGGAGGUGGGGGGGCGGGGGGCGGUCCUGGCGCUGAGGGACCCGAGGUCCUGCGGCCGCAGCCCCUGGGCGGGCCCCGGAGACCCGUGACGCCCGCACCUGGUCCGGGAACCCCGAGCCCGGGCGCGCACCUCCGACGGGCCCAGCACGCUUCCCGCGACGUGGCUCUUUACUUCGUGAGCUCUAGAAGAGCGAUGGUCAGCGCAUCCACUGACGGAGGUCGCGCAGUCCCGCGUGACGGAGCACGUCACCAACCGAGGAGGGCAGCGGGG
rnacentral:lncRNA from 12 species